UCCCCUUCAACAAACACCAUCGUACAAGGCAACACUAUCACAACUCAACAAUGCCAGCAUAGUCGAAAAAACACCAUCAAUAAUCUUCAGACCUACGGACAAGUACAAAUUCGUUGGGUCAUCUCCUUUUCCCUCUCUGUUUUACCUCCAUCAACAUCACAUACGCCCCGUCACUUUGUUUGCAAGCCCGUGGCUCUGCAAAUUCAGGGAAUAGAUGGGAAGAUUUGUGUAUCCAUCAGUUUCAAUGUGUUUUCGCCUUUGAUUUGAUGGCUAUGAAGCUUAAAUCGACGGGUCUAAGCCUCUCUACCUCAAAACCAUCACUUUUUCAAAUUCAAAUUUUGAUAUUUAUUAUAAGCUUCUACAAGGAGUUGUUACCCAUCCGGUUCCUCUAUAAAAGAGGGUUUAAGUGUUAGAAAUUUAUUUUUAAGUCCCAUACUGUUUCAUUCCGUAAGUUUCUUGCUCUAUUUUUAGUUUCUUAUUACCCUUCCUUCCGACUCUUAUUGCUUUUCAUCGUUCUCAUUUGAAGUUCGAGUUCGAAUCUCCAAUGGGUAAGCCCUGGUUUGUUGCUCCAUACAAGGUAAAUUCUAUCCCAUCUAAUUAUAUUGUACUUAGUUUUCGCGAUUCUUUGAUCGUUUGGGUUUGAUUGAUUGAUUGUAGAUAUGAAUGUGAAAUAAAAUGGUGUGCAGACGCUUGAGUUUGUUCACAUUAAGCAGUGUGUUUGUAAAGUGUAUAUAAUUUGUAAUCCAGCUUGAAUAAAACUUAGGAAGUUUGAGUUUUCCAAAUGAAAUUGCGUGUUCGUCUCAUUGUCUGGAAACGUGAACUAGAAACCACACAGUUUUUUCUCGCAUUGUUUGAUUGCACAUAUAUUUUUUUGAUUUCGCAUACUAUUCGCAAUCUUGAACUAACCUGAAAAAAAUCCGUAAAGCUGUAAGUUCUUCCGAUUUAUACAACGGACUGUUUGAGGUCGUUUGAUGUCGGUUUGGUAGUUAUUUUAAUAUGGUAAUGGUGUACUGUGUAUGUGUAUAGGUCGUGAACCUAUGUCACUCAUAUAUAUCUAUAGAUAGACAAAUAUCCACCCUCUAUUUCAACCAUGUAAAAAUGAAUAUCAUAUAUGAAAUUUAGAACAUGAACUCUUUUCAAUUUGUCAUGGAUAUCUCUUUGGAUUAGUAUAUUGUUUAGGUUUGCGAUUUAGAUAAUAUCUUCAUUUAAGCUUUAUGAAAUAAAUUGGUGACUGAAGGUGAAAUAUGGUUGAUUUAUUAGUCUAAGUUUAGUGUAGGCAAAGAGUAAACUGGAACUAGGAUGUUGUGUUCCGGGUUAAAGUUACCGCUUCCAUUUAUUGGUAAAAUCAUGUUGGUUGUAAGUUCUUAUUGGUUGUGUACUUAUUUUUUACGAUUCUUGAAAUGAUACAAGGGAGGUAGUGCCAUGACAUGGUAUGUCUGUAUCAUAUGUGCUAAUCAAUUUGGAUCAUGAUUAUAUACAGAAAGACAAAUAGGCAAGUUCUUGUUUUGGAUUUUUAAGGCCUCUCAAAUCUAUGAUUUUUGGAUAUCUUAGAUAUUUCUCUGACUUGUUACGGACAGUUGCAGUAGACUACAGAAAUAUUAGAUUAUUGCUAUACAGGGUGCUUCCUUUGAAUCUCCUUUAAGAUAUGACCUAAAGAUUAUCUAUGCAAAUUGUCUUGAGACAAUAAACUUAUUUUACUGAUGAAUUUCACUACUUUUUUUUGAAUAAAAUUCACAGAAUUAUAUGUACGUAAUGCUUGUUUUUUUUUUUUCCUAUUUUAUCUCGUCCAAAAGUUUGAAUUCUUUAGGUAGGGAAGACCGAUUCUCCGACAUUUUGGACUAUUUUCAUUGUUUCUCAGAUUUCGAUGAAUUUGUUGUUUGCUUUUCUCUUCUUUCUCUUAAGAAAAAUUGUUUGUGUUGUUGAUUUGGUUCAUAAAAUUGAAUACAGAGUGACAUGUAUUUGACCGCAUUUUUUUUUGAAAAGUUCUCUGGUUUACUUUUUUUUAGAAGUAAGUUGCAGAGGACGCUCUGUUCUCCGAUCUCUAAAAUAUAUUUCAGAUCCAAGUUAUUUUCUUUUGCAGAUUUUGCUGUCGUCACACUUUUAGAUGAGAUAUAUGUAGCGUUGAUAUUUAUCUGAUUUUUUUUCUUUCUCUAAAUUUGUUUGUGAUACAGUAGCUGCUAUCAAGAUUUCUGAAAAUGAGAGAAAACAUCUUUGCUGACCGGUUACUUCAUCUUUGUCUGUAUCAAUAUGCACGUUUGGGGUUUCAUGGCUCGACCCCAUCUCCGUUCAAAUCAAAGAAGCGAAUAAAUAUCGCAUUACAUAUCUCCGUCUAGUAGUCUAGUGCUUCUUUCCCUCUUUUCAAGUUUUAUUCUUCUUUAUAGACACUCAUUAUUUUUGUUUAAUAUUUCGCACAGUAUUAUUUGGAAUUUUGUAUUUUGUAUGUCUUAUUUGGAUUAAUGUGAACCUGAUGUGCUAGUGAA